CCUACGUGUAGCUGCAGUGAGGAAUAUUGGUCAAUGGGCUUACGCCUGAACCAGCCAAGUCGCGUGAGGGAAGACUGCCCUAUGGGUUGUAAACCUCUUUUGUCAGGGAGCAAAGCCUGCUACGUGUAGCCUUACUGAUAGUACCUGAAGAAAACGCAUCGGCUAACUCCGUGCCAUCCGCCGCGGUAAUCCGGGGGGUCCGAGCGUUAUCCGGAUUUCGUGGAUUUAAAGGGUUCGUACGCGGCCUUUUAAUUCAGCGGGGAAAGUCUGUGGCUCAACCAUAGAAGUGCCGUUGAAACUGGGAGGCUUGAGUAUGUUUGAGGCAGGCGGAAGGCGUGGUGUAGCGGUGAAAUGCUUAGAUAUCACGCAGAACCCCGAUUGCGAAGGCAGCCUGCCAAGCCAUGACUGACGCUGAUGCACGAAAGCGUGGGGAUCAAACAGGAUUAGAUACCCCAGUAGUC
rnacentral:rRNA from 1 species